rnacentral:rRNA from 1 species
UACGUAGGGUGCAAGCGUUGUCCGGAAUUAUUGGGCGUAAAGAGCUCGUAGGCGGUCUGUCGCGUCGGCUGUGAAAACUCGGGGCUCAACUCCGAGCUUGCAGUCGAUACGGGCAGGCUAGAGUUCGGCAGGGGAGACUGGAAUUCCUGGUGUAGCGGUGAAAUGCGCAGAUAUCAGGAGGAACACCGAUGGCGAAGGCAGGUCUCUGGGCCACUACUGACGCUGAGAGGCGAAAGCAUGGGGAGCGAACAGG